GACGAACGCUGGCGGCGUGGAUUAGGCAUGCAAGUCGAACGGUAGGAACCUUUCGGGGUUCUGAGAGUGGCGAACGGGUGAGUAACACGUAGGUGAUCUACCCUCAAAUCGGGGACAACCCAGGGAAACUUGGGCUAAUACCGGAUGAGUGCAUCAGAGAUGGUGUAUAAAAGGUGGCGUAAGCUGCCGUUUGGGGAUGAGCCUGCGCCCUAUUAGUUAGUUGGUGAGGUAAUGGCUCACCAAGGCGAUGAUAGGUAGGCGGCCUUAACGGGUGGUCGCCCACACUGGGAUUGAGAUACGGCCCAGACUCCUACGGGAGGCAGCAGUCGAGAAUAGUCUACAAUGGACGAAAGUCUGAUAGUGCGACGCCGCGUGAACGAAGAAGCCCUUCGGGGUGUAA
rnacentral:rRNA from 1 species